AUUUUCAGUAGGCAUUGGAAGGGCUAGCCCUUCCAGUGGUGCGUUUGACACUUUAGGUGUCCGAACGGCGUCGUUUUUAUGCUUGUUCUUGAUCUCCUUCCUUCUUCGUGAGCCUCAGUCGGAAGUUAGAACUCGCAUAAACCCUGGCGCAUCCUAGAUUGCUAGGGCAGAUAUCGAGUGAAUUUGCUUAAUUGCGUAGAAUGCUGUCAUCUGGAGAGGUUAUGUUUUAUCUGAAGGAUCAGUGGAUUGAAGCAGUGCCGCAAUAUGAGCAUAUUCAACAAAAUGAUUUUUCAUAUCGAAAACACAGAAAGCAAAAAGAAGAGGACAUGGCCAUCUGCGAAUGCAAAUUUGAUGCCAGUGAUCCUGAGAGUGCAUGUGGGGAGAGGUGCUUGAAUGUUCUAACUAGCACAGAGUGCACCCCUGGUUAUUGCCCUUCUGGUGUCUAUUGCAAGAAUCAGAGAUUUCAGAAAUGUGAGUAUGCUAAGACAAAGUUAUUUAAAACUGAAGGCCGUGGGUGGGGUCUUCUUGCUGAUGAGGACAUAAAGGCUGGACGGUUUAUUAUUGAGUACUGUGGAGAAGUAAUAUCAUGGAAAGAAGCAAGGAGAAGAUCCCAAGCCUAUGAAAAUCAAGGUCUAAAAGAUGCAUUUAUCAUUUCACUCAACUCCUCUGAAUCCAUUGAUGCCACUAAAAAGGGCAGCUUAGCUAGAUUUAUUAAUCAUUCAUGCCAGCCUAAUUGUGAGACAAGAAAGUGGAAUGUUUUGGGGGAAAUAAGAGUUGGAAUAUUUGCAAAACAGGAUAUUUCAAUUGGAACUGAACUGGCAUAUGAUUAUAAUUUUGAAUGGUACGGUGGUGCUAAGGUUCGCUGCCUCUGCGGUGCAACCAGCUGUUCUGGAUUUCUGGGAGCAAAAUCUCGAGGUUUCCAGGAGGAUACUUACCUGUGGGAAGACGAUGAUGACAGGUAUUCCGUUGAAAAAAUUCCACUAUAUGAUUCUGCAGAAGAUGAGCCUUUCUCUAAGCUCCUAAAAAUUGCCAACUCAUCCAAUUCUGAGUAUGAUAGUGGCGUGAAUGUUGAAUGCUCUGAAAUGACAAAUUUUAAUGCGGGAUCUGAGCAACAUGUGGAGUCUGCUGCUCUUGUUGUAAAGCCACUUGAUUCAGUUUCAACGCAAGGUGCAAUUAUGAAUCCAGUAAAAAUAGAAGCCAGUGAAGAGAUGAAUUUGUACUCCCAAGAUGCUCAACAGGCCUUUGCACAAAAGAGGACAAUGAUAUCCUUCAUUGGAGGUAAUAGUACAUGUGGGAAUUAUCACAUGGGACAAGGCCCUAUGCCAAAGAAACGUUCAAAGCAUUAUUCUAAUGUAAAGUUGAAACAACCCCCGCAAAAGCAAGUUGAUGCAAAACUUGUUGCCAAACUCUUAGCAACGAAAGAGGCACAAGAGGAAGUGCUCACAUAUGAGGAAGUGAAGAAUGACGCAUCCUCCCAGCUUUCUUCCUUAUACAAUGAAAUAAGGCCUGCAAUUGAGGAGCAUGAGAGGGAUAACCAGGAUAGUGUAGCUACCAGCGUAGCGGAGAAGUGGAUAGAAGUAUGCUGCCUAAAAUUGAAGGCAGAAUUUGAUCUUUAUUCCUCCAUUAUCAAAAAUGUUGCCUGUGCUCCUCGACGGGGAAUUGACCGAGCCCAACCUUCUGAGGUCGUAGACAAUGAUAACGAGGUGAAGUACCUGGGAUUUUGAAUAUGCGGAGAUUCAAUUCCUUAAAACUAUAUAAACGUUAAUUGGUCAAAGAGAGAAGAUUCUCCUCCCUCUCGCCAGGUUCUAGCUGUCUAAAAACUCUGGAUGUACUGACAUUUGAAUUUUUGUCAACCUUGUAUGUAUUUGUUGUGCUAAAAUACUCGAGAUUUUCAUCAAAUUCAGCUAAUUUUCUGAAGGGUGCAGCAAAAGUCAAGAGUGUUGUUCCCACCAAGAGUUUAUUUUACUUCCAUUUUCGAGUUUUAUUGUCUAUUAGACUAGAGAAACAUUUGUUUUUAUUUGUACUCUCAAUUUAGAUUGUAUUUAAUAUACAAUUAACAAAAAUCAUGGUGUUAAAGUGCAAUAGGUGUAAUAUUGUAGGGUAAAUGUUUAUGAAAUGACUUUUAUUGUUUUAAA
rnacentral:misc_RNA from 1 species